rnacentral:rRNA from 1 species
UACGGGGGGAGCAAGCGUUGUUCGGAUUUACUGGGCGUAAAGGGCGCGUAGGCGGCCACCGCAAGUCGACUGUGAAAUCUCCGGGCUUAACCCGGAAAGGUCAGCCGAUACUGCGGGGCUAGAGUGCAGAAGGGGCAACUGGAAUUCUCGGUGUAGCGGUGAAAUGCGUAGAUAUCUGGAGGAACACCGGUGGCGAAGGCGGCAUCCUGGACCGGCAUUGACGCUGAGGAGCGAAAGCCAGGGGAGCAAACGGG